AGUACAACAAGUUCUCUUCUCUGCAAUAUUGGCCUCCACGUUCCAUUUACAGAACAAGGAAGAACAAAGCAUAAGCUAGCUGUGGUGGUUAAAUCUGGACAAACGUGAUCCCGGAGAACCUUCCAGAGGAAUGAACCUGGCCAUUUCCACACCUGCAUGAUAAUCACUUUCACCAUUUCCAGUAGGAUACAGGGAAGCUGUUUAUGGGUCUCAAGAAGCACCUGCCCUAGAAGUGGCUUACAAUCCAGUGGGGGAGACAGACAGUGCCCAGAUCAUGGAGGGGAAGGAAGAAGGUCAGGAAUGUUCUCUACCUGCAGGAAUACAUGAUAAAGCUGCAUGAAGGUGCCACAUAUAAGUCACAUUCUAGUAUCUGAAUCAUCUCCUGAAGCCGUAUUCCGAGGUGGUAUUUCUUAGUGGACCGAAGAGGUCAAUGAGUGCCCAGAGGCAAGAGGACAGGCGUUUCAGGGAGAAAAACAUUGGGAGAUGAAUGUUCUACGUAUUGGUUUUGAUGUUUUAAAUCCAUUUACU